rnacentral:rRNA from 1 species
AGUGGCGAACGGGUGAGUAAUGUAUCGGAACGUACCUUUCAGUGGGGGAUAACGUAGCGAAAGUUACGCUAAUACCGCAUAUUCUGUGAGCAGGAAAGCAGGGGAUCGAAAGACCUUGCGCUGAUUGAGCGGCCGAUAUCAGAUUAGCUAGUUGGUGGGGUAAAGGCCUACCAAGGCGACGAUCUGUAGCGGGUCUGAGAGGAUGAUCCGCCACACUGGAACUGAGACACGGUCCAGACUCCUACGGGAGGCAGCAGUGGGGAAUUUUGGACAAUGGGGGCAACCCUGAUCCAGCCAUGCCGCGUGAGUGAAGAAGGUCUUCGGAUUGUAAAGCUCUUUCGGCCGGGAAGAAAUCGCAUAGGCUAAUACCCUGUGUGGAUGACGGUACCGGAAUAAGAAGCACCGGCUAACUACGUGCCAGCAGCCGCGGUAAUACGUAGGGUGCGAGCGUUAAUCUGAAUUACUGGGCGUAAAGCGUGCGCAUGCGGUUUCAUAAGACAGAGGUGAAAUCCCCGGGCUCAACCUGGGAACUGCCUUUGUGACUGCGAGGCUAGAGUACGGCAGAGGGGGGGUGGCAUUCCACGUGUAGCAGUGAAAUGCGUAGAGAUGUGAAGGAACAUCCGAUGGCGAACGCAGCCCCCCUGGGUCCGAUACUGACUGCUCAUGCACGAAAGCGUGG